rnacentral:rRNA from 1 species
AGUGAACGCUGGCGGUAGGCCUAACACAUGCAAGUCGAACGGCAGCACAGUAAGAGCUUGCUCUUACGGGUGGCGAGUGGCGGACGGGUGAGGAAUACAUCGGAAUCUACUUUUUCGUGGGGGAUAACGUAGGGAAACUUACGCUAAUACCGCAUACGACCUACGGGUGAAAGCAGGGGAUCUUCGGACCUUGCGCGAUUGAAUGAGCCGAUGUCGGAUUAGCUAGUUGGCGGGGUAAAGGCCCACCAAGGCGACGAUCCGUAGCUGGUCUGAGAGGAUGAUAAGCCACACUGGAACGUGGCCACGGUCCAGACUCCUACGGGAGGCAGCAGUGGGGAAUAUUGGACAAUGGGCGCAAGCCUGAUCCAGCCAUACCGCGUGGGUGAAGAAGGCCUUCGGGUUGUAAAGCCCUUUUGUUGGGAAAGAAAAGCAGCAGGUUAAUACCCCGCUGUUCUGACGGUACCCAAAGAAUAAGCACCGGCUAACUUCGUG